rnacentral:rRNA from 1 species
UACAGAGGUCCCAAGCGUUGUUCGGAUUCACUGGGCGUAAAGGGUGCGUAGGUGGUGAGGUAAGUCGGAUGUGAAAUCUCGGAGCUUAACUCCGAAAUGGCAUUGGAAACUACCUUGCUCGAGGGCUGGAGGGGGGACUGGAAUACUUGGUGUAGCAGUGAAAUGCGUAGAUAUCAAGUGGAACACCAGUGGCGAAGGCGAGUCCCUGGACAACUCCUGACACUGAGGCACGAAAGCUAGGGGAGCAAACAGG